ACUGCUUCUUGGCUUUUUGGAUAAGAACAAGUGCAGUACCUGUUUUUAUCAGAUUAACAUCUAAUGUAUCCUCUAUCUAAGGACAAUAUACUAAACAGAUUUUUGGAGUAGGGAGGUGGAAUAGGAGUUGCUUCGUCUACUUCACACAUUGAUCUGAUCUUGCAGUAACUCCAGAAAUGGUGCAUGCUCU
ensembl:snRNA U2 U2 spliceosomal RNA